AUGGACGCCAUUGAUUCCGUCUUCGAUCCGCUCAGAGAAUUCGCUAAGGACAGCGUUAGGCUCGUCAAGCGCUGCCACAAACCCGAUCGGAAAGAAUUCUCCAAGGUUGCUGUGAGAACUGCGAUUGGUUUCGUUGUGAUGGGAUUUGUUGGCUUUUUUGUUAAGCUGAUUUUCAUUCCUAUUAACAACAUUAUCGUUGGAUCUGGUUAG